rnacentral:sRNA from 1 species
AGAAAAAAAUACAAUAUAUUAUUAUGAUAAAUUGAUAAUAUUAGAAAAAUUAAACAUGCUUAAUAAUUAAAACCAUAAAUAAAACAUUAAAUUCAAAAAUAAAUAAAUUUUGUAAGAAAAAGCUUAGUACUUUAUGCAUUUGGUACAUCACCAAAAAUUGCAUCAAGUAGUGUAAUAAACUGUAAAUAACGUUGAACUCGUGGGUUUUCCGGAUUGCCUCUAUACAUAUGAUAAAGUUCUAACAAGAAACGGGUCAUCUCGUCUGACCAAAUAAUUUUCUAAUCGAGAAAACAAAUCAAAACAUGUAUUCAAUCAAAAAACUCAAAAAAAUACA